rnacentral:rRNA from 1 species
AUGAAGAACGAUGUGAUUGCGGCCGUGCGGGGUUUCUUUGAAAACGGGAUCAUGCCAGAAGGGAUCAAUGACACAACCAUUGUACUUAUUCCCAAGGGGAAGAAUCCGCAAUGCCUAAAAGAUUUCCGCCCAAUAAGCCUUUGCAACGUUAUUUACAAGGUCAUUUCCAAGUGCUUAGUAAAUCACUUGCGGCCACUGUUAGAUGGAUUGAUUUCGAAGACCCAAAGCACUUUCAUUCCGGGAAGGCUGAUAACUGACAACGCCAUCAUAGCUUCGAGUGUUUUCACAAGAUCUAGCACAACAAAAGUCCCCGUGACACGCACUGUGCCUACAAAAUAG